UACGUAGGGCGCAAGCGUUAUCCGGAAUUAUUGGGCGUAAAGAGCUCGUAGGCGGCCUGUUGCGUCUGCUGUGAAAGCCCGGGGCUUAACCCCGGGUCUGCAGUGGAUACGGGCAGGCUAGAGUUCGGCAGGGGAGACUGGAAUUCCUGGUGUAGCGGUGAAAUGCGCAGAUAUCAGGAGGAACACCGGUGGCGAAGGCGGGUCUCUGGGCCGAUACUGACGCUGAGGGGCGAAAGCGUGGGGAGCGAACAGG
rnacentral:rRNA from 1 species